CAAUAGCGUAUAUUAAAGUUGUUGCGGUUAAAAAGCUGGUAGUUGGAUUUCUGUUGAGGACGGCCGGUCCGCACUAUGUGCGUGUAUCUGGUUCGGCCUCGGCAUCCUCUCGAAAGCCGUUUCUGCGCUUGAUUGCGUGGUUCGGACUUCGGGACUUUUACUUUGAGGAAAUUAGAGUGUUCACGGCAGGCAAGCGCCUUGAAUAUAUUAGCAUGGAAUAAUAAUAUAGGAUCUUGGUCCUAUUUUGUUGGUUUCUAGGGCUAAGAUAAUGAUUAAUAGGGACAAUUGGGGGCAUUCGUAUUAAUGCGUCAGAGGUGGAAUUCUUGGAUUGCGUUACGACGAACUACUGCGAAAGCAUUUGCCAAGGAUGUUUUCAUUGA
rnacentral:rRNA from 1 species